GACGAACCGUCCUAACGUUGUUCGGAAUCACUGGGCUUAAAGGGCGCGUAGGCGGCUUGCCAAGUCAGGGGUGAAAUCCUGCAGCUUAACUGUAGAAGGGCCUUUGAUACUGGCGAGCUCGAGGGAGGUAGGGGUAUGUGGAACUUCCGGUGGAGCGGUGAAAUGCGUUGAUAUCGGAAGGAACGCCGGUGGCGAAAGCGACGUACUGGACCUCUUCUGACGCUGAGGCGCGAAAGCUAGGGGGAGCAAACGGG
rnacentral:rRNA from 1 species